CCUACGGGUGGCAGCAGUAGGGAAUUUUCGGCAAUGGGGGGAACCCUGACCGAGCAACGCCGCGUGAACGAAGAAGUUAUUCGUAUUGUAAAGUUCUUUUAACAGGGAAGAAAGAGAAAUUUGACGGUACCUGAAGAAUAAGCUCCGGCUACCUACGUGCCAGCAGCCGCGGUAAUACGUAGGGAGCGAGCGGUAUUCGAAAUUAUUGGGCGUAAAGGGUGCGUAGAUGGAAUAGUAAGUCUUUUGUAAAAAUGCUGGGCUAAACCCAGUAGGGCAAAAGAUACUGCAAAGCUAGAGUAUGACAGAGGUAAGUGGAACUACAGGUGUAGCGGUAAAAUGCGUAAAUAUAUGUAAGAACACCAGUGGCGAAGGCGGUGUACGGGACUGUAACUGACGUUGAGGCUCGAAAGCGUGGGGAGCAAACAGGAUUAGAUACCCCUUAGUC
rnacentral:rRNA from 1 species